UUUUAUGGAUGAGCAAAAAAAGCAGCUUCUUGAGAUGGAAUCUACUCUUGGUGAAAAUACAGUGAA
rnacentral:pre_miRNA from 1 species